AAUCAAUGUGUGCAUGUUCAAUACAUAAUCUGUCAAUGUGCAUGCUGCCAAUUCAGUGUAUCCUAUCCAUUUGAAACACAAAUAGACUUUGAAAUAGAAAAGAUCAAUAAAGAGAAAGUAUGCAGAGGCUAUUUUCUAGAGAGAGGAAAAGAAAAAAAUAAAGAGGGAUAUUUUGUAGACUCAUUUUAUGAAGUUAGAAGCUGAUUACAUCACUAAUGUGCCA
rnacentral:lncRNA from 1 species